UUUUUCUUCCUUUUUUUGAUGGUGUUGUCGGAAGAGAAGAGAACAAAAGCUACAUAUUCUAAGAUUCUCUGCUGAGUUUAGGUUCGUAUAAGGAAGUUUAAGAAAGCCAUUCGGGGGGGGCGGCUGGGUGGCUCAGUCAGUUAAGCAUCUGACUUUGGCUCAGGUCAUGAUCUCAUAGUUUGGGGUUUGAGCCCCACAUCGUGCGGACGCUGCUCUCUCAGCAUAGAAUCUGCUUUGGAUCCUCUGUCUCCUUUCCUCUCUGCCUCUCUCUCUCUCUCUCUCUCAAAAAUAAAUUAACAUUUAAAAAAUUAAAUAAAAUCUGUAAAAGAAAGAAAGAAAGCCAUUCUGCUGGAUUUUACAACCUUGCUCUAAAGUAAGGUGAGGUCAGAUACUGAAUCGGGCAAUAUUUUUUCCUCUCGUAUUUUCAGUAUUUAACUUAGGUUGAAUACUUAGCACAAAAAAUAUGUGCACUGUCAUAUAUCCUGCCUGCAUAUAAAGACAUUUUUUCCACCGAAGAAAACUAGGACUUUCAUUACAUCUGUUGGCCACCUCUGGAGGGUUCCCCUCACCCCCCUCCUGAAGUAGGAAAUAUCACUGAGCUUCUUUACCAACAUAGGCUGCAGUUCUCAGAAUAGGCGAAAUGUUGCAAGACAUUGUUGCAGGUUACAGAUUUAGAGGGGGGGAAAAAAAGACCUAUAUUUAAGCCUCCCUCCACCUCCAGUCCCGCUGGGGAACAGGAAUGCCUUGGCUUGGGCCACCUUUGCAAAAACAGUUAACAACCCCCACCCCAGCAUAAAGUCGUGUAUUUAUUCCCUCACCUCUUAGACGCUUUACACGGGUUGGCUUGAAAAAUGAAAAACAACCCUGAUUGUACCCGAUUGAGAAACCAAGAGGAAGUCUAUUAUUUCAAGACCGUUUUCUCUUCCCGUGCAAGGUACACGGAGGCCCGGUGGUGUCGGUCGGUGGGAGGCGCCGAGCGAAGCCAAGGACCACAGGGGAGGAAGGGAAUGGCGCUCCGAAAUGAUGCGCACGGUAGCAGCGGGGCACCGGGGCUCUCAGUCUAACGAUCGGGAAAAUGACGCAGCUCCAGGCCGAUCCCAGAGCCUUCAGCUCCGUUCGUACAUUUGUGCAACUCUUGCGGCGAACGGGAAAGCUGCACCGGCAGGUACUUUAGGGCCGGGCACGAUGUGGAGAUUUAACAAGGAUCCUGAAGCUGGAGGCACACAAUGACUGCCACUGAAGAGGAGCUGCCUGUGCAGCAUCCCCUUGACAUCUGCCUCAUUUCAAUAAUUUCCAGCCAUUGAACCUCUGUCUGAAUGAGCAUUAAGGAAACAGAGGCAUGUUUGGAUACUAAUUUGAGCCUCUCUCGGGUUUGAGUUUUAUGCUGAUGCCUGUGGCUCAGUUGACGGUGUUGACGUCUGCGGCUUGCCGUCCGUAAGACCGGACACAUUCCCACCGUGUCUAUCAAGGAGACGGAAAGCCCUGGUGUGUGUCCCCCUCUCCUUACUGUGUACGGUUAGCAUCCGUUGAGCGGUGCAGACGCCUCGACCUUGAAAAGCUGAGCGGAGACCGAGAGCCUCGUUUCAUACGAGGCUGGGUAAAGGUCAUCCGAAGUCCUUCCCCGGUGAGCUAAUGCCCUUCGGUUGUGACCAGCCCGGAUUUGAAACCGUGACCUACCGCUUUGCCCCACGCAAAGGACGAGUGCUCUGAAACCGACUUGCCAUAAGACAUCAUGGGCCGCUCUAAGUUGUCCGGGAGGACAGGCGUGUGUCCUGCAGCGUGGUCGGUCCAUCCAGAAGAAUCUUGAAUGUUCCCAUGCCUCGUGACUUACGAAUGUAUAUUCACCGAUGUCAGAGAUCUGGACGUGUGCUUCCUGAGCUUAUUACUGUAACAAGUUUCUCCCAUGCUCCCAGGCAGAUUCUUCGUGUCUCCUCGUCCAGACUACUGGACUCAGUUUAAGAUUACAUCCUUUUCUCCUUUGUGUUUAUUGCAUUUGCCCUGUAAAACUCAUUCCCUUCGCCUCAUAGGACACCUAGAGACACCAGGGGCAUUCCAAGACUGGGCAUGAGGUGCAGGAGGCCUAACCACCAGGGAUGGACUUUCUGGGCAUCUUUAUCUCUUACAUGGAGAGGUCUCAGGGCCUCUCAGUGUGGUGUCUCUUUAUCUGGCUAGUUGGGCUUCCUCACAGCAUGGCUGCCUUGGGACAAGAAGAUGACUCAUGAGAACUGAAAGCUUCAAGACUCAGCAUUCCAACAGAAAGGCAGAAGCUAGGAAGACUUUUCCAGCCGAGGCACCGGAGUCACACAGCACCAUUUCCACUGCAUUCUCUUAUUUACAAGUGAAUCCCAAGCGUAUCCAGAUUCCGGGAGAGGGGAAUAAGACACUACUUCCUAUGGGGAGUGCGGCACAGUUCUAGAAGAGCAUUGGGUAAUGGCCAUACUCGGAUAGUAUGAUCUACCACAGAGAGUGCUGCCCAAGCAUUGUUUGUGAAACAAGUAAAUAAAUAGUUCUUAAUGA